rnacentral:rRNA from 1 species
AAAUUGAAGAGUUUGAUCAUGGCUCAGAUUGAACGCUGGCGGCAGGCCUAACACAUGCAAGUCGAGCGGAAACGAGUUAACUGAACCUUCGGGGGACGUUAACGGCGUCGAGCGGCGGACGGGUGAGUAAUGCCUAGGAAAUUGCCCUGAUGUGGGGGAUAACCAUUGGAAACGAUGGCUAAUACCGCAUAAUGCCUUCGGGCCAAAGAGGGGGACCUUCGGGCCUCUCGCGUCAGGAUAUGCCUAGGUGGGAUUAGCUAGUUGGUGAGGUAAGGGCUCACCAAGGCGACGAUCCCUAGCUGGUCUGAGAGGAUGAUCAGCCACACUGGAACUGAGACACGGUCCAGACUCCUACGGGAGGCAGCAGUGGGGAAUAUUGCACAAUGGGCGCAAGCCUGAUGCAGCCAUGCCGCGUGUAUGAAGAAGGCCUUCGGGUUGUAAAGUACUUUCAGCAGUGAGGAAGGUGGUGUAGUUAAUAACUGCAUCAUUUGACGUUAGCUGCAGAAGAAGCACCGGCUAACUCCGUGCCAGCAGCCGCGGUAAUACGGAGGGUGCGAGCGUUAAUCGGAAUUACUGGGCGUAAAGCGCAUGCAGGUGGUUUGUUAAGUCAGAUGUGAAAGCCCGGGGCUCAACCUCGGAAUUGCAUUUGAAACUGGCAGACUAGAGUACUGUAGAGGGGGGUAGAAUUUCAGGUGUAGCGGUGAAAUGCGUAGAGAUCUGAAGGAAUACCGGUGGCGAAGGCGGCCCCCUGGACAGAUACUGACACUCAGAUGCGAAAGCGUGGGGAGCAAACAGGAUUAGAUACCCUGGUAGUCCACGCCGUAAACGAUGUCUACUUGGAGGUUGUGGCCUUGAGCCGUGGCUUUCGGAGCUAACGCGUUAAGUAGACCGCCUGGGGAGUACGGUCGCAAGAUUAAAACUCAAAUGAAUUGACGGGGGCCCGCACAAGCGGUGGAGCAUGUGGUUUAAUUCGAUGCAACGCGAAGAACCUUACCUACUCUUGACAUCCAGAGAAGCCAGUAGAGAUACAGGUGUGCCUUCGGGAACUCUGAGACAGGUGCUGCAUGGCUGUCGUCAGCUCGUGUUGUGAAAUGUUGGGUUAAGUCCCGCAACGAGCGCAACCCUUAUCCUUGUUUGCCAGCGAGUAAUGUCGGGAACUCCAGGGAGACUGCCGGUGAUAAACCGGAGGAAGGUGGGGACGACGUCAAGUCAUCAUGGCCCUUACGAGUAGGGCUACACACGUGCUACAAUGGCGCAUACAGAGGGCAGCAAGCUAGCGAUAGUGAGCGAAUCCCAAAAAGUGCGUCGUAGUCCGGAUUGGAGUCUGCAACUCGACUCCAUGAAGUCGGAAUCGCUAGUAAUCGUGGAUCAGAAUGCCACGGUGAAUACGUUCCCGGGCCUUGUACACACCGCCCGUCACACCAUGGGAGUGGGCUGCAAAAGAAGUAGGUAGUUUAACCUUCGGGAGAACGCUUACCACUUUGUGGUUCAUGACUGGGGUGAAGUCGUAACAAGGUAGCCCUAGGGGAACCUGGGGCUGGAUCACCUCCUUAUACGAUGAU